rnacentral:pre_miRNA from 1 species
AUAGUACUCCCUCCGUCCAACAAAGGAUGUCUCAACUUUAACUAAAUUUGAAUGCAUCUAUAUACUAAGUCAUGUCUAGAUACAUCCAAAUUUUGACAAACUUGAGACAUCUUUUGUUGGACGGAGGGAGUAUGAA